rnacentral:rRNA from 1 species
GACAGAGGGUGCAAACGUUGCUCGGAAUCACUGGGCGUAAAGGGCGUGUAGGCGGGAAGGAAAGUCAGAUGUGAAAUCCCCAGGCUCAACCUGGGAACUGCAUUUGAAACUCCCUUUCUUGAGUACCGGAGAGGAAAGUGGAAUUCCUGGUGUAGAGGUGAAAUUCGUAGAUAUCAGGAGGAACACCAGUGGCGAAGGCGGGUCUCUGGGCAGUAACUGACGCUGAGGAGCGAAAGCGUGGGGAGCGAACAGG